GGGCCUGCUUGGGUCGGGACUGGGUCGGGGUUGGGCUUGGGGGCGCGGGGCGCUGGGCGGCUCGCGCUCGGCCCCCUUCGCGCCCCGAGGCCGUUGGAGGGGCUGGACGGGCCCGGCUGGAGCGGCGCGCGGGGUCGGGCGGGGCCCCCGCACCUCGGACUGGGUUUCUGGGUCCUUUUGGAAAGGCCCUGAACGCGCGGGGGGUGUGGGCAUCGCUGGAUGAGCCGCGCGGAACGAAGCGGUGGAACCCGCGACUGCUGGCUUUUCCCCGAACGUUACUUCCGGCGAGAGAGCAAACUCCUUCAAACCCUUUCCCCUCCGUGCACGCGUCUCCGCGUGUGUGUGUAUUGGGUGCGUGUGCGUCCGGGUGUCUGGGGUCUGGCCUGCCUUGGGGUUACCCAAUGGGAAGAACCCACCGGCAGGAGACGAGUAGGCUCUGGCUCCAUCACUGGACCACCUUGGACAGAUGACUUCACUUUUGUGGUCCCCAGUUGGUUCAGCCGUCUCGAAGUCAGAGGGCGUGCCCAGGAGGAAGCCGCAAGCUGGAAACUACCCCAGGCAGCCAAGGACCUGCCCUGAUUCUUGGGAAGAGCCUGCCUGCGGUUGUAAUGUUACGCAAAAGGCUGGCAUCUCCCCCUGCGGCUCCUGAAGGCUGCUCAGGUGUGUGCACACGGGAACGCUGCACCAGCCCGGCCCUGACCUCUAGGUAGGGGGAAGGUCUGUGUGCUGCCAGCUAUGUUUGUUCAAAGCCAAGCCUCUGCAGGCGCCUGAGUCUUUUGGAGAUGUGAGUUCUUUUUUGGCAUUGCUGCAGGAGCUGGCAGGAGGGUCAGCUUGGGAUAGAGGCCUGAUGGGAGGCAGCCUGCCAGCCGCAUGAUGUGGCUCUGGACGCCUGGGACAUUGCUAAUUCGGAACUGACGCCCACAGUUAGGAGAGGGGCCUUGCAAUGAGUGGUGCUGGUCUUGUCUUUCUGUACCUAGGACAAAGGAGGAGAGGCCUCUGUCUCCUGGGCCUGUGUGGGGUGGGUGGGGUGGGUGAGUGUCUUCAGUGAGAACGAGAAGGGGCUGGCUAAUGUGGGGACCCAGGACAUCAGAAGCCAUCUGUGGAGGCCUCCAGCUCCAUCCUUGUUGCCCUCAGCAACCACUGUUCCUGUUCUUGCCCACCCGGGUGGGAUUUCCUCCCCUGCAGCCACCUUGAUGUGGUGUGGUUGGCCCCAGUUCCAGAAGGGCACAGCAGGUGGGUGCAUCUCUCAACCAAGGGAGGGAGGUUUCCUUGACCAAACUUCAGUCAGGCUCCUGAACUGGCUCCUAGGCCCAUCUGUGCACCUCCUUGUAAAUCCCAGUUUUAGCAAAAGCGCUUCCCCUCGGUAUCUGAUCAGGUUCUUCUUCUUCUUCGAGAUUUUAUCUAUUUAUUUGAGAGAGAGAGCACAUGGGGUGGAGGGGGAGCAGAGGGGGAAGCAGGCUCCCCACCGAGCAGGGAGCCCGACAUAGGGCUCCAGCCCAGGACCCCAAGAUCAUGUUGUGAGUGGAAGGCAUCUGGAUGGUUAACUGACUGAGCCUCCCAGGGGCCCCCUCUGAUCAGGUUCUCUAUCUUCUCCUCCCCCCCGCCCCCCUGCUGAUGUCUGAAUCCCCUGACCUGUCCUUGGCCAGAAUCCUGGCAGGUUGGUUGAACCAGAACCCCCCUCACCCCUGAUGAUUUUUUCUUGUGAAGCAGUCGGGCAUUCCCACUGACCCCCACUUGCAGCUUGGCUAUUGUAGAUCAAGUUUUCCUGGACCCUCAUAGGGUCCCUGUCAGUUUAUCUUUAAACUGAUAAAGAUUAACAGGAGAAAGCCCAUGCAUUUGUUUAAUUUUAUAAGCUUCACCUGACAUGGGAGACUUCAUAAGGAAAUGACCCGGAGAAACAGUUAAACCUGCGUAUUUUGUGCUUGGUUGGAUGGGGACUGGAUAGCUGUGGGAGAUUGUGGCACGUUGAGGUGUACGAGGCUGGUGAAGUGAACUGGGGGUGCCCAUUUGUUGGGCUUCUUCCCUUUGUCUCUGGCACAAGGCUGUUCCUGUUCUCUGGGGACAGGGAGGGUGCCUCUUACAGGAGGGUUUGAUGGCCUGUUUCAGGGGACAAGGGCGGGGAGGUUAGAGUGACCGUCCUGCUUCUGCUGUUUUCUCAGACCCCUUCACCUUGAACUAUGCAGUGUGCAAGGCGUCAUCGCUGGGGGUAGCAUGUUCUGAACCCCAUUACCAUAGGGGUCUCACUUACCCAUGCCGCAACCAGGCCUGAGCCCCCACCACGAAAUUCCAUCGCAGUGGUCUGUGUACGUACCGUGAUGGUCCUGAAUAACGUGUGCUUACUGUCUUCACUGGUUAAAUGUGUCCUUUCUACAAAAUUCUGGUGAGCUGACAUACAGUGUCCCAUUAGUCUCGGGGGCACAAAGUCACAGGCCAGCAGUUUCACACUUUCCUCACUGCUCGUGCGGUCAGUGUCCUCCUGGCCCCCACCGCCUAGCUCAUCCUCACCCCUCUGGUAACUGCCUGGUUGUUCUCUGUUGUUAGGAGUCUGUUUCUUGGUUUGUCUCUUUUUUCUUUUGUUUAUUUGUUUUGUUUCUUAAAUUCUGCAUAUGAGUGGAUUCAUAUAUUUAUCUUUUUCUGAUUUAUUUUACUUAGCACUGUAAUAUGUAGCUCUAUCCAUGCCAUUGCAAAUGGCAAGAUUUCAUUCUUUUCGGUGGCUGAGUCAUAUCCUGCUGUAGAGAUCUGCCGCUUCUCCUUUACCUGCUCGUCAGUCCGUGGACCAUGGACACUUGGGCCACUUCCAUAAUUUGGCUAUUGUAAAUAAUGUUGCAAUAAACCCAGGGUGCAUGUA